GAUGAAGAACGUAGCGAAAUGCGAUACUUGGUGUGAAUUGCUGAAUCCCGUGAACCAUCGAGUCUUUGAACGCAAGUUGCGCCCGAAGCCAUUAGGCCGAGGGCACGCCUGCCUGGGCGUCACACGUCGUUGCCCCCCCAUCUACUCCUUCGGGAUUGCGGGGGGCGGAUGAUGGCCUCCCGUGCGCCUCGCCGCGCGGUUGGCAUAAAUGCCAAGUCCUCGGCGACGCACGCCACGACAAUCGGUGGUUGCGAAACCUCGGUUGCCCGUCGUGUGCGGUCGUCGCGCAUCGAGGGCUCGAAAAAAUUGCCGGGUUCCGGCUCGGCUUUCAACGCGACCCCAGGUCAGGCGGGGUUACCCGCUGAAUUUAAGCAUAUCAAUAAGCGGAGGA
rnacentral:misc_RNA from 1 species